rnacentral:rRNA from 1 species
GGGGGUGCUAUAAUGCAGUCGAGCGAAUGGAUUAAGAGCUUGCUCUUAUGAAGUUAGCGGCGGACGGGUGAGUAACACGUGGGUAACCUGCCCAUAAGACUGGGAUAACUCCGGGAAACCGGGGCUAAUACCGGAUAACAUUUUGAACCGCAUGGUUCGAAAUUGAAAGGCGGCUUCGGCUGUCACUUAUGGAUGGACCCGCGUCGCAUUAGCUAGUUGGUGAGGUAACGGCUCACCAAGGCAACGAUGCGUAGCCGACCUGAGAGGGUGAUCGGCCACACUGGGACUGAGACACGGCCCAGACUCCUACGGGAGGCAGCAGUAGGGAAUCUUCCGCAAUGGACGAAAGUCUGACGGAGCAACGCCGCGUGAGUGAUGAAGGCUUUCGGGUCGUAAAACUCUGUUGUUAGGGAAGAACAAGUGCUAGUUGAAUAAGCUGGCACCUUGACGGUACCUAACCAGAAAGCCACGGCUAACUACGUGCCAGCAGCCGCGGUAAUACGUAGGUGGCAAGCGUUAUCCGGAAUUAUUGGGCGUAAAGCGCGCGCAGGUGGUUUCUUAAGUCUGAUGUGAAAGCCCACGGCUCAACCGUGGAGGGUCAUUGGAAACUGGGAGACUUGAGUGCAGAAGAGGAAAGUGGAAUUCCAUGUGUAGCGGUGAAAUGCGUAGAGAUAUGGAGGAACACCAGUGGCGAAGGCGACUUUCUGGUCUGUAACUGACACUGAGGCGCGAAAGCGUGGGGAGCAAACAGGAUUAGAUAU